AAUCCGAGGAUGGUUGCGUUCUUCCCAGCCCUCCGCUCCAGUAAUCUCCACGGCUCUCUCCACCACCACGGAGCCACUUCUCCCUAACUCCUACGACUUCCUCUCCUCAAUCAUUCCCAAUACUUCUUCCCCACCAGUCUUCCCUCCAAGAACACUCUCCUCUCUCACCGUCCAAGAAAUUGCCUCAGAUUCCCCCAACCUCUACUCCAAUCCCCAGACCGCUGAAUCCAAGGACCUUGAAAGCCCUCCGUGGUUGCAGGGGUCAAGAAGCCUCCACCAUUACCUGACGGCAUCGGUAAAUAUAAGGAGUUCUAGGUAUCGGCCGAUGGAAUAGAAGGAAUUCCCGAAUCUCUCCCCUGCCCUGAGGUGCUAUCUCUCAUGAGUCGCUUGCGAGAGGAGGGUUACCUAGAGGACGCAAAUUUCUCUCGAGACGUUCCGACGGAUCCCAAAGAAAUCCCUGCUACCUUAUCGUGUCGCCAUUUCUUGAAACCGGCCUUGGAAAAAGUUCGGCCAAGAACAUCAAGAAAUCGCAAAGUGACUGUCUAGAAGUGACCUAACAAAGGUUGCUCAUUUUUGUUGUCCGUCCAUAGAACAGUUUUGCAACUAAAAGAUUGCGCUUCUUCAGCAUUCCAGAGCAUGUCCUAAGUGGUUUCAUAGUGUUCUUGGUGCAAACUAAACUAGUUAAAUACUAUUUUAAACUGGAAGAUUAUUCUCUUUUUUCAAAUCCUUCCAGAUAUGUCAAGGAUGUAAGCUUAGAAGCUCAUGCAAAUAUCUGAACCAAAGAGUACGCAGAGAGGAAAAGAUCAUUCUUGCUGACAUGAUUAGAAUUCCUGCUUCAGUCUCAUUGCAUUCUGUUCCUCAUCAACUAUUCAUUCCCAAUGACCUAAAAUUUUCUGUUGGCAAAUUGCUGACGAAAGUAGUCAAUCUUAGUUGAACACUACAGUCGCUAUGUUUUUGGAGUGGGAUUGUGGAUGGUGACAGAUGCAAGAAAAGGAAACUAUGAACUGGCUCGGUAUUUGUGUUAUUAAUGACAAAAUUUUUGGCCAUAUACAGUUUUGUUUUCCCAUGGAAAUGUAGUGACUUCUACACGACAAGUUAGUAGAUGAAAAAGAAAUAACUUUCGUGCCUCUUGUACCAUCGAAUGGAAGGAUAGUUGAAAGAAUAUGACUAAAAAAAA